GCAAUGGUGGUUCGGUGGUAGAAUUCUUGCCUUCUAUGUGAGAGAGAGACCCAGGUUCGAUUCCCGGCCAAUGCA
rnacentral:tRNA from 1 species